rnacentral:lncRNA from 1 species
CUGGACUGCAAUGUAUGCCUUCAAUGCCUUCAUAGUGGUGUGGGUUUUGGUGGUUGGAUUUGGGUUCGGUGGAUGGGCUAGCAUGACCAAUUUCAUCAGGCAAAUCGACACUUUCGGCUUGUUCGCCAAGUGCUAUCAAUGCAAGCCACCUCCACCAACCGGAGCAGCAGCAGCUGCUGCAAACCACCACUGAGUUGACUCAACCCAAAAACAUAUAUAGCAAGAAAAAAAAAACCAAAGAAAGAAACAAUAUGAAUUCCCUGUUUUCCCUCCAUAUCUUUGUAUCAUACAUGGGAAGAUACCAAUGUCUCCCCUACAUGUGAUGUGUGCUGG